UAAAUACUCCCUCCGUCCCAAAAUUCUCGUCUUAAAUUUGUCUAGAUACGGAUGUAUCUAAUACUAAAACGUGACUUGAUACAUCCGUAUUUAGAAAAAUCUAAGACAAGAAUUUUGGGACAGAGGGAGUAUAAA
rnacentral:pre_miRNA from 1 species